GCUGGAAUUGUAUGAUUGUGAAGACAUCACGAACCUUAAAGGUUGAGAAGUGAACGGAUUAUACGGCGAACUGAGACGAUGUGAAAAAGGGGAUUGGAAGCGGCAUUGAUGUGAGUACUAAGAGCCAGUCGAAAGUGCCCUGUAUAUUGACCUGGCGUUGUGUAGAUCUCUCCAGGAGGAGGAGGGCGGCCCUACCCCUAAUAUAGCGUGGUGGGAGAGCCGAAGGAAUACUUAUUGAAGUAGUCACAACGACGACAUCACUAGCUAGGCCGCAUAUUCCAUCGCCAGAUCCGAACCAAGCGAAGUGAAGGAAGACGGGUGUCCUUUUCGUACACUGAGUGUGGUGGGUGAGUCUUCAUGCUGUGAAAACCUAUAAUUUUGACGUGGUGCUGUAUAUUGCUGUGGGCUGCUGUGUAUUGCCGUGUGUCCUGUCAGAUAAACCCCCGCCUUCACGCACUUCGUCGCGGGAGGACAAGGAGACUGCUGGUCCUAGCCUAGUUCAGUACAGUAUAUGUUGUGAGCGUGCUUCAGAUCUCCGGAGAUAGCACAGUACGCUGUGUCCAGCCCAGAGGUGAAAGCCAUCCAAAGCAGAGUAACUGUGCUUUGCGUCCAAGUUGAUACCUGUGGAGAGGAAAGGAAAGAGAGAUUGAUACCUGUGGAGAGAAAAGGAGAGAGAGUGGGUAACACGAGGAGAGACCGAGGAAACCUGUACUUACGCCGCUGCCUGUGGAGAAAGAGAAAGCGACCGUUGCCUGUGGAGAAAGAGAAAGAGUGAGCACCUCGAGAACGAACUGUGUGAACCAGUACUUACCGUGAGCUGUAUUCAGCGAAGAGGAGG
ensembl:lncRNA